rnacentral:lncRNA from 13 species
AUAGUAAAGCACAAGGCAAACAUUAUAACUGUAUCAUUAAAGUCUACCCUUACAGAAUACUUGAGAAAAUAAAACAAUGACAAAUUCUCAUUUAUGUAUAAACCACUUAUAUCAGGUUCUUCCUGAGAAUAUAUUGUUUGAGGGAAGAGGAAGAAAGAGAGGAUUAAUUAUGUUUACUGGAGAACUACUUAUCCUAGACUUUGUACUAGGUGCUUUAUAAAAAUUAUUUCUUAAAUUUCUGCAACCAUGAUAAGCCAUAGAUAACCCUGUCUUCGCUUCAUAGAUGAAUGUACUGAGUCUCAGAGGAGUUAAGCAAUUUUUCUCAAGUCCUGUAGCUGGCAAAUAAUCAGUUUAAGAUUCAAAUAAGUUUUUAUCAAGCAACAUUGUUUGAGGCAAGAAAUAAGAGUAUGAUAUCUAAUUUUUAAAACCACACACACCCAUGCAUUUCCUAAAAGGAAAUAUAUUGGUAUGUACGAUAAAAUUAGACUCUCACGUCCUUGAAAAAAAAUUGACUGAGCCCCUGUACAUCUUUACCCAGUUAGCGUUCAAAUAAAUACUCCCGUAAAUACAUAUUCAGGGUUAGAAUAGCCAUAAACAAACUUCAUUGUCAUUUCCGGCAUUUAAAUCAGAACUAAUCACACGAAGCCAGUGUUGGCCCAAUCCUUCUCACCUAGUUCCCUUCACUCUUUGCCAGUAAGCAGCUUUUAAUCUAUUUCAGGAAAGAGUCCGAGGCACUUUGGAAAUAAAACUUAACCUGAAAGUACUUCCCAAGGCAUUACCAGAAAUUAGGUUUUAGAUUUCAAGAUGACUUGCAUUGUUCUAAACCUCCAGGCUGUGCCAAUGACCACAAAGGUCGUGAAAUACCACACAAACUUGAGAACCCACCGGCUGUGGAUCACCCUGAUUCAACAACUCAAUCCAUCCUAUUGUCACAUCUAUGGCAUAAUCAGUGUUUCACAACCUAUGCUACAUAAUAAAAUCUCCUGAGGAAAGUUUUGGCUUUUUUUGUGUUUCAAUUUAAGAAGAAAAGAAAAAUCAGUGCCUGGACCCCAACAUCAGAAAUUUGGAUUCACUGGUAUAGGCUGGAGGCCAGGCAUUAGUAUUUUUUUUUAAAGCUUUCCAGGUGAUUCCAACAUGAGUCAUGGUUGAGCACCGCAGUUAGUUGUAUGAAUUGGAUUUAGAAAUCUUAUCCCUUAGACCCUUAGGGUUGCCUGAACUGUCAUCGUGGCUAUAAAACCUGCAAGUAGGGCCAGGUGCAGUGGCUCAUGCCUAUAAUCCCAGCAUUUUGGGAUGCCAAGGUGGGUGGAUCACCUGAGGUCGGGAGUUUGAGACCAGCCUGGCUAACAUGAAGAAAACUCAUCUCUAUUAAAAAUACAAAAUUAGCCAGGCGUGGUGGCACGUGCCUGUAGUCCCAGCUACUCAGGAGGCUGAAGCAGGAGAAUCACUUGAACCCAGAGCCAGAGGUUGCAGUGAGCCAAGAUAGCACCACUGUACUCCAGCCUGGGCAAUGAGAGUGAAACUCCAUCUCAAAAACAAAACAAAACUGCAAGAGUUUGGACAAGUUCCUGGUCCUUGAAACUCUGUUUCCACAUCUCCAAAGUGAAACUCAGAACAUCUUUCAGAUACCUGCUUUAUCACGGAGGCCUGAUGAUCAUGGUUUCAAAUUAAAUGUCUAUGAACCUAGAUACUUUAUUUUCCUUCCAUCAUUUUUGAUUCAUAUGCCUUUAGAAUGAACACUGAAUGUAAAUUGUAUGUGAAAAUAUCUUUUACAUGUUACAGCAUUAUUUCUUUUGAUGAUGUAACUUAAACUACAUCUUCAGGAUGCCAAAAACAAUUGGCUUAAAAGUAGGAAAAUACUGUCACCUAAUAUUUGCUGUCUCUCUAUAUUCCUAAGUUAAG